rnacentral:rRNA from 1 species
CCUACGGGUGGCAGCAGUGGGGAAUAUUGCACAAUGGGGGAAACCCUGAUGCAGCGACGCCGCGUGAGUGAAGAAGUAAUUCGUUACGUAAAGCUCUAUCAGCAGGGAAGAAACACUGACCUUACGGUCAGCAGAAGGUACCUGAGUAAGAAGCCCCGGCUAACUACGUGCCAGCAGCCGCGGUAAUACGGAGGGGGCAAGCGUUAUCCGGAUUUACUGGGGGUAAAGGGGGCGUAGACGGUGCGCCAAGUCUGGAGGGAAAUGCCGCAGCUUAACUGCGGAAGUGCUUUGGAAACUGGCGAACUAGAGUGCGGGAGGGGUAAGCGGAAUUCCUAGUGUAGCGGUGAAAUGCGUAGAUAUUAGGAAGAACACCGGUGGCGAAGGCGGCUUACUGGACCGUAACUGACGUUGAGGCUCGAAAGCGUGGGGAGCAAACAGGAUUAGAUACCCCGGUAGUC